GCCCUCUCAGGAUCACACCUGGAGGGUUUCCAGUACUCUACCAGUCUCGACUAUGGGAGGGAGUGUCAGGCAGAAGAAUGCCUAUUCCAUUCUAGCUUGGGCAGUGGCUAGCAAGUGGAAGGCAAUCUGUUAUAAGU